GGAGAGAUUAAAUGUCCAGCAAACGACGGAAAUGUUGCCAGAUUCCUUUUAGCGGGAAUUUUAAAAUUUUAUAGCAGUUUGGUUUUAAAUUUGACAGUUCUGUUUUCUCAAGUCAAAAAUCUUAACCUUACUUUUACAAGUGAUUAGGAUUAUUAUUAUUUUAUUUAAAUGUAAAUUGAAAAAAUAAAUAUUGUGCUGUGUCAUAAUUUCAAACUCAUUAUGUUGCAGUCUUUUCCAGUUGAUAAAAUUGCAAUUCAAAAACUUUUAGAUUUGCACUGUAUGGAUGGCACAGGAAGAGAACAAAGAGUACAAGAACAUGAAACAUCUUAUUAUGAAUGUAUAUGUAUGUGAUCCUCAAAAAAUUAUUUUACAAAACAAGAUAGAGAAAGAGCUUUAAAAUCCCAAGGAUCCUGCAAAAUGUUUAUUUGGUGUACUAGUCGAAUAAUAGUAUCUAAAAAUAUUGAAACUAUUUUAAAACACAUUACGGGCAUGAGGAUGAUAUAGAGCACUUACAUAAAUACCAAAA
rnacentral:lncRNA from 1 species